UCUUUUUAUACGCUGAGCGAAGGAGAGGAAUCAUGUG
rnacentral:rRNA from 1 species